rnacentral:lncRNA from 1 species
AGAAUUCAUAAGACAUAUCCACUCAAGGCUGGCUUUUGGGAAUCGAUUAAAUCUGGGGAGAAGGAUUGGAGGGUGAUGAGCUAAGAAGGAAUUCUUAUGUCAUCAAGAUCCUAAAGAAGACAAGUUUCCAUGGCUCUAGCGCGUUGAAAAAGCCAGAAACAACCCUGGAGCAUGAGUAAGAGUCUUGCUCAUCAACUAUUGAUUAAAGACUGAUUACAGCUUGAGCAUAUGCAAAAAAAACGCAUGUUGAAGCUCUCAAAACCACUUUGGAAGGCUCCCUCCUAAUAUCAGAGACGAAUGAUGCAAGGACAAGGUUGCACCUAUGUAAUGGUACCAUGAUCACAGGGAUAUAGCAUUUUCGGCUUAUAAGCUUUUGACGCUGUCGCGGUUGCUUUACAUAAUAGUUAUUUUUCCAUUCCCUGUUUGUUGAUAAGAUUCCGUGUAUUUCAAUCAAUUAUCGUCUUACAAUGUCAAUCAACUAAUCAACAAUUUAGCUUC